rnacentral:rRNA from 1 species
GAUGAACGCUGGCGGCGUGCCUAAUACAUGCAAGUCGAGCGAACAGAUAAGGAGCUUGCUCCUUUGACGUUAGCGGCGGACGGGUGAGUAACACGUGGGUAACCUACCUAUAAGACUGGGAUAACUUCGGGAAACCGGAGCUAAUACCGGAUAAUAUUUCGAACCGCAUGGUUCGAUAGUGAAAGAUGGUUUUGCUAUCACUUAUAGAUGGACCCGCGCCGUAUUAGCUAGUUGAUAAGGUAACGGCUUACCAAGGCGACGAUACGUAGCCGACCUGAGAGGGUGAUCGGCCACACUGGAACUGAGACACGGUCCAGACUCCUACGGGAGGAAGCAGUAGGGAAUCUUCCGCAAUGGGCGAAAGCCUGACGGAGCAACGCCGCGUGAGUGAUGAAGGUCUUCGGAUCGUAAAACUCUGUUAUUAGGGAAGAACAUACGUGUAAGUAACUGUGCACGUCUUGACGGUACCUAAUCAGAAAGCCACGGCUAACUACGUA